UGGGGAAUAUUGGACAAUGGGCGAAAGCCUGAUCCAGCAAUGCCGCGUGAGUGAUGAAGGCCUUAGGGUUGUAAAACUCUUUCAGUAGGGAAGAUUAUGACGGUACCUACAGAAGAAGCACCGGCUAACUUCGUGCCAGCAGCCGCGGUAAUACGAAGGGUGCUAGCGUUGUUCGGAAUUACUGGGCGUAAAGCGCGCGUAGGCGGCCUCGCAAGUUGGAAGUGAAAUCCCAGGGCUUAACCCUGGAAUUGCUUUCAAAACUGCAAGGCUAGAGAAUGGUAGGGGAAAGUGGAAUUCCUAGUGUAGAGGUGAAAUUCGUAGAUAUUAGGAGGAACACCAGAGGCGAAGGCGGCUUUCUGGGCCAUUUCUGACGCUAAGGCGCGAAAGCGUGGGGAGCGAA
rnacentral:rRNA from 1 species